rnacentral:rRNA from 1 species
GACGAACGCUGGCGGCGUGCCUAAUACAUGCAAGUAGAACGCUGAAGAGAGGAGCUUGCUCUUCUUGGAUGAGUUGCGAACGGGUGAGUAACGCGUAGGUAACCUGCCUUGUAGCGGGGGAUAACUAUUGGAAACGAUAGCUAAUACCGCAUAACAAUGGAUGACACAUGUCAUUUAUUUGAAAGGGGCAAUUGCUCCACUACAAGAUGGACCUGCGUUGUAUUAGCUAGUAGGUGAGGUAACGGCUCACCUAGGCGACGAUACAUAGCCGACCUGAGAGGGUGAUCGGCCACACUGGGACUGAGACACGGCCCAGACUCCUACGGGAGGCAGCAGUAGGGAAUCUUCGGCAAUGGGGGCAACCCUGACCGAGCAACGCCGCGUGAGUGAAGAAGGUUUUCGGAUCGUAAAGCUCUGUUGUAAGUCAAGAACGAGUGUGAGAGUGGAAAGUUCACACUGUGACGGUAGCUUACCAGAAAGGGACGGCUAACUACGUGCCAGCAGCCGCGGUAAUACGUAGGUCCCGAGCGUUGUCCGGAUUUAUUGGGCGUAAAGCGAGCGCAGGCGGUUUGAUAAGUCUGAAGUUAAAGGCUGUGGCUCAACCAUAGUUCGCUUUGGAAACUGUCAAACUUGAGUGCAGAAGGGGAGAGUGGAAUUCCAUGUGUAGCGGUGAAAUGCGUAGAUAUAUGGAGGAACACCGGUGGCGAAAGCGGCUCUCUGGUCUGUAACUGACGCUGAGGCUCGAAAGCGUGGGGAGCGAACAGGAUUAGAUACCCUGGUAGUCCACGCCGUAAACGAUGAGUGCUAGGUGUUGGAUCCUUUCCGGGAUUCAGUGCCGCAGCUAACGCAUUAAGCACUCCGCCUGGGGAGUACGACCGCAAGGUUGAAACUCAAAGGAAUUGACGGGGGCCUGCACAAGCGGUGGAGCAUGUGGUUUAAUUCGAAGCAACGCGAAGAACCUUACCAGGUCUUGACAUCCCGAUGCUAUUUCUAGAGAUAGAAAGUUACUUCGGUACAUCGGUGACAGGUGGUGCAUGGUUGUCGUCAGCUCGUGUCGUGAGAUGUUGGGUUAAGUCCCGCAACGAGCGCAACCCCUAUUGUUAGUUGCCAUCAUUCAGUUGGGCACUCUAGCGAGACUGCCGGUAAUAAACCGGAGGAAGGUGGGGAUGACGUCAAAUCAUCAUGCCCCUUAUGACCUGGGCUACACACGUGCUACAAUGGUUGGUACAACGAGUUGCGAGUCGGUGACGGCAAGCUAAUCUCUUAAAGCCAAUCUCAGUUCGGAUUGUAGGCUGCAACUCGCCUACAUGAAGUCGGAAUCGCUAGUAAUCGCGGAUCAGCACGCCGCGGUGAAUACGUUCCCGGGCCU